rnacentral:rRNA from 1 species
UACGGGGGGGGCAAGCGUUGUUCGGAAUUACUGGGCGUAAAGGGCUCGUAGGUGGCCAACUAAGUCACACGUGAAAUCCCUCGGCUUAACCGGGGAACUGCGUGUGAUACUGGAUGGCUUGAGUUUGGGAGAGGGAUGCGGAAUUCCAGGUGUAGCGGUGAAAUGCGUAGAUAUCGUAAGGAAGACCAGUGGCGAAGGCGGGUCUCUGGACAGUUCCUGACGCUGAGGCACGAAGGUCAGGGGAGCAAACGGG